ensembl:lncRNA
UUAUUGUGUUUCCCAGAAAAAAUACGUUUAUUUGUACAUCAUCAUUGAAAGGAUUCUAAAUGCUCAACAUCAGUGUGCUACGUUCUCUUACUGUUAGUGGGUAACAAUUGUUCCGUCCGCAGCCUUUGACACAUUCGUCCUCCGCUCCCAAGGAGAUGAAGGAACACUAUCGUUGAUCAGGGGGGGUUUGAUCUCAGUAAGAUUAAGACCCCUCUCGUUACUUACAGCACAAAGGCAGGAGACCCUCAACGUGAUUAAGAGGACUACAGGUGGGUAAGCACACUUCAAACAAUCCAAAAGCCAUUACCAAAAUUAAAAAAAAAGACCAAAAUGAGUUUACAUGGGGAGUGCAAUGUUAAAACUAUCCUCCUGUCUUUGAAGGGAGACAAAUUGAAAAUCGCUGGAGACAAAUUGAAGGGAGACAAAUUUAAAAUAUCUGACUGGCAGUGUGUAUAAAACACUCCCUCAAGUACAGGCUGACCCUAAAAACAUAAGAAAAAGGGAAAAAGAGAAAAAUCACACAAAAACUGGAACAAUUUCUAAUCAAUAUGUUGUCAAAGUUUGAAACGAACAAAAUCGCAUACCAGAAUAUAAUUACACGUAUUGUAAAUCACACAUAUAUAUAUUUCUGUUAUGGUCAUGACUAAAUAAAGUAAGAAUAUACAACAAAGCUAAACAAUAAAAAAUAUGUGCACCCACAGCUCAUCAAAUACCACAUUAUAAUUAUUUUGUUCAAUAAGAAAAAACACAAAAAAGUGUUAAAACAAACACGUGCAAGAAACCUCGAGGAAAUUGGCACAUUGUUGCAUUGCAAUUUUGUACGAAUUAAAUCAAAUACAUUGAGCGUUCUAGUUGCUUUAGAGGCACUGGGAGGUGGAGCUUUUUUACAGCGCUUUCCUUUAACUUUUUUAACGGUAAGCCAACCACGUACAGCUGUGAGCGUCGUGACAAUCAAAGAUACUCCGAGCCGCCUCGGUAACAAUCUUCCUUCAUGACGAAAACGUUUCCCACCUGAACUCGGAGUGCAAACGGCUUCGUCUGGACUCUGUGGUCUGAUCCGAUUUGAUUGACAGUGCCGGCAAAACCAGCAAACAAACCCCCCCCAAUUGUCAUCAGAUUUAAAUGCAAAUGGGGCCAAACUCUGAUUGGAGCACAAACUCCAUCCCCCUUCUAACAAAACACUUGUCACAGAAAAUCCCCCCCCCAAAAAAGAAAGAGAAACACUGAACCAAUUUGAAGGCCCAAACCGUGGGAGAACAUUGUGUGUUCAUGAUUCAUUGUAAGAAGCCUUUUUAAAGACACUUCUAGUGAUCCCAGCACCCAAUGUUUGGUCUCCCAGUGACUCCAUCCUCCUUUGUAUGCACUCUUAAUCAAAUAAGCUGCUCCUACUUUAUUAACUUGGACAAGCUUGCUCCAGAUAAGCCUGUCGUGUGGAGGCGGCACAGAGGGAGAAUCAGCCUGCGGACGUGAUGCCGGUUGACUCGGGGAGCCCCAGACGCGAGCUUUAGGUCGCCGUGUUAUUGUCUGUGGCUUGGCCCCGGAGCUCCGGGGAGAAUCGCGUCCUCUAAUGGAAAACUAUUGUCCGCCGGUGAGCACAUUCAACUGUGUGCAAUGCGGAUCAGCCUAUCUGGACUCAUGCACAAGACAGAACCAGGCUCUCCACCCGGUAGAAAGCUAUUUUGGAAUUGUAAUAUCCACACAAGUCGAUUGUGAUCAAGCGAAACAUCUGGAGUAGAAUGUACUCUAGUGCGGGGCCGGGCGGUGUUUUCCAGUUUAGUGGAAAGAAAACCAAGAAAUAGUUUAUAUUUUCUACUCAACAGCCCAAUAUGCAGCAAUAAUGCAAUGGGACUAAACACAUAAAGGUGCACGGCAACAAUAAGGCACUCAUUCAUUGGCUGGGAUGCAGGUUAAUGAGCAUAGCGAUGUUAGAUUACAAGUGUCUCUGCUUUAAAUGUGUCCGCGCCUUGGUGGACGCGUCCUCCUAACAAACAGUCCGAAACAAGAGAGACAGAGUGCAGGUUCGAGGGUCAGUGCAGCGCCCUCCCGUGUGCACGCACGCUGCACACACAAACGCACGAGCUCCGAGGGAAACAUUGUCAGACGGAUCGUCCCAGAGGACGAGGAACUCCAUUCGCCUCGGCGGUUUCUUUGUGCCCAGAGAACGACGACGCGCGUGUGAUCUUCCUCCACCUUUUUUUGUGCACCGCAGCAGGUGAAAGUCCGGCGUUGGGCCCCAGAGGAGAUCCACGAUGGCGAUGACGCUUGACGCCGCGCGGGCGUGGAUGUUCGGACGGUGAAAUCUAUUAGGAGAGGAAAGAAAAG